CCUACGGGAGGCUGCAGUGAGGAAUAUUGGUCAAUGGACGAGAGUCUGAACCAGCCAAGUAGCGUGAAGGAUGACUGCCCUAUGGGUUGUAAACUUCUUUUAUAUGGGAAUAAAAUGUUCCACGUGUGGGAUUUUGUAUGUACCAUAUGAAUAAGGAUCGGCUAACUCCGGGCCAGCAGCCGCGGUAAUACGGAGGAUCCGAGCGUUAUCCGGAUUUAUUGGGUUUAAAGGGAGCGUAGGUGGAGUGUUAAGUCAGUUGUGAAAGUUUGCGGCUCAAACGUGAAAUUGCAGUUGAAACUGGCAGUCUUGCGUACAGUAGAGGUGGGCGGAAUUCGUGGUGUAGCGGUGAAAUGCUUAGAUAUCACGAAGAACUCCGAUUGCGAAGGCAGUUCACUGGACUGCAACUGACACUGAGGCUCGAAAGUGUGGGUAUCAAACAGGAUUAGAUACCCUUGUAGUC
rnacentral:rRNA from 1 species